UAAUUCUCACGCCUGAGCUAUCCCCCGACGGAACCGCCGUCAAGCUUUCGGUGUUGACUGUGUUUACUGUGCAGGAUCAGGACGUCUUACGUGAUUGGGACGUGGAGAAAGAUCUUGGCGUUAACAUUGGCGCUAGAAGGAGGGCCUUUUUUCUAGUGUUUUUGAGUUAUCAAUCACAAUAUUUCCAGUUGUUCUACAUCGGAAGUUACGGCACAGAUCAAGGGGUUCUCGUUCGAGAUCCCAUGGCGAAGCCCGAAGAUAGUUGGUC
rnacentral:lncRNA from 1 species